AAAAAGAUAAAUCCUGGAUUUCCGUGUCCAACAUUUAACUAUCCGUCUUAUAUGAAUUUUUUUAUAAUUAGUAUUUUAAUUGUUGUUAGAUGAUAAAACAUGAUUAAUACUUUAUGCGUGACUUGUCUUUUUAUUUUUUUUUUAUAUUUUUUUAAAUAAGACGGACGGUCAAACGUUGUGCACGAAAACUCAGGGUUUGUCUUUUU
rfam:Oryza glumipatula chromosome 2, whole genome shotgun sequence.